GAACCAUACUCUCACAUCAGCCUGAAGCCAUAAUUCGGCAGUCUGCAAUAUGUGAUGUGCACCACAUAUCUUAUUAUUUUAUGCCAAUUCCUGAUCAGCUUGUUACUACAUACAUCAAGAAACCACUUAAUGUCAUAUAUCUCAAAAGCAGGCUAAGGUGCCGCUAAACAUAAUAUUUUCAUGCAAAUACAAUGAUUGUCACAUGCAACAUCUUGAAGUGGUUUUUUCUUAAGAGAAGUAUUCAAGAACCGUAUGGACCUCAUACCCAAAGUGUAGUCUCAAACAGAGGGAAAGAAUUCAUGUAGCCAACUAGUUUGGGAUCAAGGCUUGAGUUGGGUUGACUUGAAUAUUAUACUAAAUCUCCUUGGUCUCUUAGAUUUGUUUGGGUCGACCAUAUGGCUCAAGUGAUUGCACCUUAGUGGAAACCGACGUUAUGUCCUUGUAUCUGAUGCCAAUUGGCUAGCAUUUUGGUGCGUUUCGGGCAGAGUGGCCCACCAAAUGAAGACCCACUGAGUGCGCAUCAUUUUGUCGUGUUGGCUGGGCAAGGCAUGUGUAUCCCACUAUGGUGUUAGACAUAGUGCCCGUGACACCAGCACAAACUUUUUAUCUUCUUGCACCUCCACAGAAUAAAUAGGUAGAAUGAAAGAUGAAAUGUAUGUGGCCGUCCUUGUUUCUUCUCCCACUAGUGCAUGAGAUUGCAACACUUUGGUUCCUGAUCCCUCCAGGCCGUAAUGGGUUAGGCAAUACUGGUGACCCAUCUCUUUCUUUGUUGUUGCCUUCUAGGACAAUCUCAUGAACUCAGUGGGAUAAGGCCCAUAUGGUUGUUUGUCUAUUAAAAUGUCAGUGAAUUGUUCUUCCUAUCUAGUCACAACCACAAUUCGGUCGGACUUCAGUUUUGCCGAUGACAAAAUUUGCACCAAAACGAACUCUCAUUGGGAGUAGGAGGCAUUUGCAGUCAUUGCGAGCUUAUUUAAGCAUCGAGGAUACUUAUUCUGGUCGCUAAGCGUGAGGUUGGUGUGGGACCAUGUUAGUUCAUUUAGAAUCGGAAAAGAACACAGGUAAAGAGAUAAGCCAUCAUCCCAACACCCAUAUUAUGCAUGAAUCUGAAUGUGAACUGCAAGCUAGCUUCUGUAUUGUUACGAAGACCAACAUGAGAAUGGUGAGCAAGGAUUCUGAUUGCAAUGAGGAUUGCUUUGAAAGAAAAGGACAUGUGGCUUCUCUA
rnacentral:lncRNA from 1 species